UACGAAGGGUGCAAGCGUUACUCGGAAUUACUGGGCGUAAAGCGUGCGUAGGCGGUUUGUUAAGUCCGUUGUGAAAGCCCUGGGCUCAACCUAGGAAUUGCAGUGGAUACUGGCGAGCUAGAGUGCGGUAGAGGAUGGUGGAAUUCCCGGUGUAGCGGUGAAAUGCGUAGAGAUCGGGAGGAACACCCGUGGCGAAGGCGGCCAUCUGGACCAGCACUGACGCUGAGGCACGAAAGCGUGGGGAGCAAACAGG
rnacentral:rRNA from 1 species